GGGGGCGACUGGUUUCGACGGGGAUCAGUGACGCACAGGUGGCAUCCCGAGGUGCUCGCGCCUCGUAAAAGACGUCAUAUUCCGGUGACUGGCUCCAAGCUCCGCUCUUGGGCAAGGGGCGAGAUCUUCUAGGAGCUGGCCGCCCUGACAACCAGCCGGUUGGAGGGAGGGGUGGCGAGAGCACAAGAGAACCGGCUAUGGAUGUAGAUGCCUGUUGCUGAGGAUUUCCGGACGUGGGUUCGAUGCCCACCGCCUCCACCA
rnacentral:tmRNA from 1 species